rnacentral:rRNA from 1 species
GACGAAGGGGGCUAGCGUUGUUCGGAAUUACUGGGCGUAAAGCGCGUGUAGGCGGUUGUCCAAGUUGGAUGUGAAAGCCUUGAGCUCAACUCAAGAAAUACAUUCAGGACUGGAUGACUAGAGGACCGGAGAGGAUAGUGGAAUUCCCAGUGUAGUGGUGAAAUACGUAGAGAUUGGGAAGAACACCAGUGGCGAAGGCGGCUAUCUGGACGGUUUCUGACGCUAAGACGCGAAAGCGUGGGGAGCAAACAGG